GACGAACGCUGGCGGCGUGCUUAACACAUGCAAGUCGAACGGAAAGGCCUUUUCGGAGGUACUCGAGUGGCGAACGGGUGAGUAACACGUGGGUGAUCUGCCCUGCACUCUGGGAUAAGCCUGGGAAACUGGGUCUAAUACCGGAUAGGACCGCACUUUAGUGUGUGUGGUGGAAAGUUUUUUCGGUGUAGGAUGAGCCCGCGGCCUAUCAGCUUGUUGGUGGGGUAAUGGCCUACCAAGGCGGCGACGGGUAGCCGGACUGAGAGGUUGGUCGGCCACAUUGGGACUGAGAUACGGCCCAGACUCCUACGGGAGGCAGGAGUGGGGAAAAUUGCACAAUGGGCGCGAGGCUGAUGCAGCGACGCCGCGUGGGGGAUGACGGCCUUCGGGUUGGAAAAUCCUUUCGCCAGGGACGGAGCGUUUUGUGACGGUACCUGGAGAAGAAGCACCGGCUAACUACGUG
rnacentral:rRNA from 1 species